GAUGAACGCUGGCGGCGUGCUUAACACAUGCAAGUCGAACGGAAAGGCCCGUGCUUGCAGGGGAACUCGAGUGGCGAACGGGUGAGUAACCCGUGGGUGAUCUGCCCUGCACUUCGGGAUAUGCUUGUGAAAGUGGGUCUAUUACCGGCUAGGACCUCUUUCUGGUUGGUGUGGUGGCAUGUUUUUCGGUGUGUGGUGAGCUCGAGGCCUAUCAGCUCGUUGGUGGGGUACUGGUCUACCAAGGUGUCGAGGGGUAGUCGGCCUGAGAGGGGGUACGGCCACAUGGGAACUGAGAAACGGCACAGGCUCCUACGGCAGGCAGCAGGGAGGAAUAUUGCACAAUGGACGCAAGGCUGAUGCAGCGACGAGGCGUGGGGGAUGACGGCUGUCGGGUUGAGGACUCCUAACGCCAGUUACGAAGCAUGUUUGUGACGGUACCGGGAGAAGAAGCACCGGCUAACUACGUG
rnacentral:rRNA from 1 species